rnacentral:rRNA from 1 species
CCUACGGUGGGCUGCAGUGGGGAAUAUUGGACAAUGGGCGAAAGCCUGAUCCAGCCAUGCCGCGUGUGUGAAGAAGGCCUUCGGGUUGUAAAGCACUUUCAGUGGGGAAGAAAGCCUUGGGGCUAAUACCCUCGAGGAAGGACAUCACCCACAGAAGAAGCACCGGCUAACUCCGUGCCAGCAGCCGCGGUAAUACGGAGGGUGCGAGCGUUAAUCGGAAUUACUGGGCGUAAAGCGCGCGUAGGCGGUCUGAUAAGCCGGUUGUGAAAGCCCCGGGCUCAACCUGGGAACGGCAUCCGGAACUGUCAGGCUAGAGUGCAGGAGAGGAAGGGAGAAUUCCCGGUGUAGCGGUGAAAUGCGUAGAGAUCGGGAGGAAUACCAGUGGCGAAGGCGGCCUUCUGGACUGACACUGACGCUGAGGUGCGAAAGCGUGGGUAGCAAACAGGAUUAGAUACCCGAGUAGUC